CUCUAUAAUUUACGAAGUGCGAGUAUUAUGAAUUUAUGCUUGUUGUUAAUCUCCCUUUUAAUUUUAUACAUUACUAUAUAAAAUAGACACACUCACUAGCUCACACACUAACCUAACAUUAUCCAAAUUCGGGCCCAAAAAAUAGACCCAAUUUGUUAAUUGGACCUUUACACUUUAGCGCGCACGCUGAAAGCUCCAUUGAAGCGGCUUCUGAGCAUUCUCAUCUCCAAUCUCCAUUGAAGCAAUUCCUGAGGAACACAAAAUGUCUGAUGUGCAUCUGAAGCUUGACCGAAGUACCAUAUAUUGGAGUAUGUGGUGGAAACUUAGAAAAUCUGUGGCAAGUGGUGCUAAACUGCUAACUGCUUAGAGUUUAAGCUGACUAAUAAGACUGCUGAUCUCUGGUGAGGUUGAUUCAAAGCUUGGAAGGCGUAGAUUUGAAUGACAUAGAAGAGGUUUGAAUCCAUGGCAAACAAGUAAUACUUCCUAUGUUCACUUUUAAUUGCAACUCUUCUUUCAAUUUAUUGCUUAACAUAAAAAGAUGAAUUAUGAGUAGGUGUCACUCGAUGAUGUGUUGAUGACUUGAUGUCUGCUUGAGCUUCCUGCUUUUAGUAUCAAUAGAGUUGAUUUUGGUUUAGAUUGUGGGUUUGUGGUCCAGCCAAUCUUGUGGAGCUGUAGAGGACAGGCUAUCCCAGGAAUAUUUAUAUUACAUGUCCAUUGAGUAAGUUAUAAGUAGCCUUCAAAACUGUAUUACUAAGUAAUAUCGCUUUCGAAAUUGCUGGCCUAUUUGGGUGGCUUACCUAUGGUUUAUCCGGAUUUGUUGACGAGUGUCUAAGGUUGUUGAUCUCUAUGUGAGAUUGUGAGGUGGGACUUGGGAGUCCUUAAUUGUUUAACGUAACAAUCAACAAUUGAUAAUACUAAGUAUACUUUUGCAUCUUCGAAAUUUUAGAACCAAUCAAAUAAGUAUUUAUGAUUUUUUUUAGUCAGAAGAAAAAGAGUUGCCCGAUGAAUCUAUGGGUUUCUUAUUUGAAAAGAGAUUGUUUAGUUAGAGGUAUAGGUGUCAAAAAUUGACUUGAUUGAUCCGAACAAUAUUCGAUUUAGAUUUCAAUUUAUAUAGAUACAAUAAUUUAGCAUGACUCAAAUUUGAAAUAAACCUAACCUCACUCGACUUUGCUGGACUUGACCUAAUUACUCGAAUUGACAUCUUUAGUUAGGGCAUUCAAUAGUUUUCCAACUCAUCAAUUUGCAAGAUUUAAUGUUUUUCUUUUUACUCUGUUUAUUUUAUUUUAAAAAGUAAAUACAAUGUAAAGAUUAGGAGCAUCUUCUUAGAAAAUUGUGCCCUAAUCUAUGCAAGUAUGCAGGAGUAAAAAAAAAAAAAAAAAAAAAAAAAGAAAAUUUAUUAUUUAUAAAAGGAUUGUUGUCCUUAUGGGUCGGAGUAGAAUAGCUGAAAGAGGCCAUAUUAUUAAGUAUGCCCCCAAGAAAUGUGAUUUUUGUAGAGUGAAGAUUGAAUGAAUGUUUUUUUAAGGAAGUCAUAUGGGAUAUGGCUAUAGGAUUUAUUAGUAACUAAAAAAUCUAAGUGCAUGAAACAAGACAAUUGAACCAUCGAUCUCCUAAAUUGUCUAGUGGUCCUAAUUUUGAGAAUUGUUGAUUUUAAUAUGGGACAAAGUGGUCCCACUUGAGUAGUUAGUGCAUAGCUAAAUUAUAUCCAAAAUACAGUAUAUCCUUUAAAACUUAAUAGAGAACUAAUCAGAACAAAAAUCUUUAUCUAGAUCUCAAAAAAAAAAAAAAUCUUUCUCUUGAUAAUUUUCACAAUAUUGAUGGGUUAAAGGUACAUGUAUCAAUUUUAAUAUAAUUAAGAAAGAUACACAAAAUUAGACCCCUUUUUUGCUCCCUUUAUUGAUAGACAAUUUCAUUGCCUGCGUUCGUUGGUUUAAAAAAAAAAAAAAAGAAGAAAUGCUUUUUCGUAAACUAUAAAGUAAUUGUAUCAAUUGUACAAUUUUUUUUUUUCUCUAAUUUUAAAUUUUUAUAACCUUUUGUUUUCGUUGAUUUAAUUAAUUUUAUCAAAUUCAUUUCCAUUUUGACAAUUUGCUCUAUUACUAUACCUUACACCUUAUGGAACCUAUAGAUAUUAGUCUUCUAUUUUUGACUUAGUAAUAAAGUCUAACGAUAUAGGUCUUCUAUUUUUGACAUUGCAUUGAUUGUAAUGUACUGCUGUAGGAUAUUUGCAGACACAUGAAAAACAAACAAUUUAAACAUAUAAAUUUAAAAAUUAAAACAAUUGAGUUCAAAUCACCUUCAA